rnacentral:ncRNA from 2 species
UAACUGCAUAUCGUCUUAGGUGCCCACUAUGGGAGAAUAGGGAAUCGGGUGCAAAUCCCGAACGGGCCCGCCACUGUGAAGCCGAGCCUUAGCCAGAUGCCACCUUGUAAAUUCAGGGGAAGGCGGCUAAAGGCAGUGAAGCCUAGUCAGGAGACCUGCCUAAGACUAGACUGCGCC